rnacentral:rRNA from 1 species
CCGUGAUAAGCGGGAGGAAGGUGUGGAUGACGUCAAGUCCUCAUGGCCCUUACGGGUUGGGCUACACACGUGCUACAAUGGCAGUGACAAUGGGUUAAUCCCCAAAAGCUGUCUCAGUUCGGAUUGGGGUCUGCAACUCGACCCCAUGAAGUCGGAAUCGCUAGUAAUCGUGGAACAGCAUGCCACGGUGAAUACGUUCCCGGGCCUUGUACACACCGCCCGUCACACCAUGGGAGUUGGUUCUACCCGACGGCCGUGCGCCAACCUUUCGAGGAGGCAGCGGACCACGGUAGGAUCAGCGACUGGGGUGAAGUCGUAACAAGGUAGCCGUAGGGGAACCUGCGGCUGGAUCACCUCCUUUCUAA